rnacentral:rRNA from 1 species
AUGAGAUUAUUCUUGUGUGAGGAGGCAAGCUGGGAAUGUGCGGUUUCAGUAAAAUGUAUUGAAACAUGUUGUUUUUCUGUGGCUCUUCUCUGGUCGGUGCAGCACCUGCUUGAGAAAAUCUGCCAGGAAAUGCACCCAUUAGCAUCAGGGGUGAGGUUGGAGUACCAGGGCACAUCGUACUUCUCGGGGACUUGGAUGGAGAUCCAACGGUUCCUUGGCAACCCCGGCUUGCCAGGGCGAUCUGAUCUUCAUCCGAGACCUCUCGAGAGCAUGCUGUUAGGAGUUUUGAUAGCGUUGUUGUUACCCGAAGAUCAACAAGCUUCAUUUAUUCUAUAA